UACGGCAGCCUAACAAUGCAAGUCGAACGGUAACUUUUGGUGCUUGCACCGAAAGACGAGUGGCGAACGGGUGCGUAACGCGUAUGCAAUCUGCCUUUUACUAGGGUAUAGCCCAGAGAAAUUUGGAUUAAUCCCCUAUAAUAUCAUUUAAUCGCAUGAUUUUAUGAUUAAAGCUUCGGCGGUAAAAGAUGAGCAUGCGUCCUAUUAGUUAGCAGGUGAGGUAACGGCUCACCUAGACUCCGAUAGGUAGGGGUCCUGAGAGGGAGAUCCCCCACACUGGUACUGAGACACGGACCAGACUCCUACGGGAGGCAGCAGUGAGGAAUAUUGGACAAUGGACGAAAGUCUGAUCCAGCUAUGCCGCGUGCAGGAUGACGGCCCUAUGGGUUGUAAACUGCUUUUAUACAGGAAGAAAAACUCCGACGUGUCGGAACUUGACGGUACUGUAAGAAUAAGGAUCGGCUAACUCCGUGCCAGCAGCCGCGGUAAUACGGAGGAUCCAAGCGUUAUCCGGAAUCAUUGGGUUUAAAGGGUCCGUANGCGGUUUUUUAAGUCAGAGGUGAAAUCCUGCAGCUCAACUGUAGAAU
rnacentral:rRNA from 1 species